AGGUUACUAAUGGAGCCCGAAUCUGAUGUAUUUUUCGGUCAGUGGUUGUUUGAUCUAUUUUAGAUUUUUAAAUGCUGUAUGGUAUUUGAUGUGUUUAUUCUAUUGUUUUGUAUUCAUGAAUCACGAUUUUGUUUAUUAUGGUUUAAAUUAUUGUGAACUUGUUGUUGUAUUGUUUAGUGUUCAUUACUGGUUUACGUGUUUAGCUUUGAUUGGAUAAUUGAGACCAAGAAAAAUGGAAAAAGGUAUGUGAAUUGAUAAAUAGAUAAUGUCGACAGCCCAACUAGAUAUCCUGGGAGAUGGUGGACGGACCAAGUCCGUACGGAACCCUACCGGAAACGUGGUCUCUCGUAUCGGACGGAGUAUGGAGACCUUAUGUGUUUUGGUG
rnacentral:lncRNA from 1 species